GUGGGGAAUAUUGGACAAUGGGCGAAAGCCUGAUCCAGCCAUGCCGCGUGUGUGAAGAAGGUCUUCGGAUUGUAAAGCACUUUAAGUUGGGAGGAAGGGCAGUAAGUUAAUACCUUGCUGUUUUGACGUUACCGACAGAAUAAGCACCGGCUAACUUCGUGCCAGCAGCCGCGGUAAUACGAAGGGUGCAAGCGUUAAUCGGAAUUACUGGGCGUAAAGCGCGCGUAGGUGGUUUUGUAAGUUGGAGGUGAAAUCCCCGGGCUCAACCUGGGAACUGCCUCCAAAACUGCAUGACUAGAGUACGGUAGAGGGUAGUGGAAUUUCCUGUGUAGCGGUGAAAUGCGUAGAUAUAGGAAGGAACACCAGUGGCGAAGGCGACUACCUGGACUGAUACUGACACUGAGGUGCGAAAGCGUGGGGAGCAAACAGGAUUAGAUACCCAGGUAGUCC
rnacentral:rRNA from 1 species